AUAAAAACUUCAUUCUUUGCUUUAUCUUGUUCGCAAAGCUCUGCAAUGAAAAAGGAACAAAGCUCUGCAAUGAAAAUUAAAUAAUUUACGGCAUAAUUGUUGAUCUCGUUUCAACCGGUUAUUCGAAGCUUCUCAAAGUCUGCAGAUCUAGAUUACUAGGGAAAGAUUAUCAAAGUUGAAGCUCAUUCAGAAAUGACUUUGGUUUUGAAGUCGGUGCAGGCCUUGGGCGGUUAGGAAGGUGAACUUGGUUAAUGUCACCAGCUUCUUGAAGAUGAUAUUUUUAAUAAUUCGGCUUGGAAUCAGGUAAGAGACUUUGAGUUUCUGCUUGAACUUUUAUCUACUUUCUUUUAGAGACUGCACUAAAUACAGAUCAGAAACAUAAAACUUCAUCAGUACAUGCUGCAAAGUCCCCAAUUGGCAUAUACAUAAUGGGUUCAAUUGCUAAUACAAUCUUCUUCUUUUUUCCUUUUUUUUUUUUGGUGGGCACACCCGAGAUGUUUCAUAGUGACAAAAUCUUCUCUCUUUGGAGGCCUUCAGACAAUAAGCAUAAGGUUGUCAGUGACGGGAUUCAAGCUCUUAUUUUUGAAACUUUAGCCACUAUGAUGAAGCAUUUAUUGAAAUGUCAAAUCGGUCUUACAUGGAGGUGGUAAUGAAUGGUUUAAACUCAGUUGAUGUUGGUCCAAUCUCUGCAUUAGUGUUUCAAUUUCAGUCGAAAAUUGGACUUCAAUCCCAUACAUUGGGGGUGACUUAUGGGAUGACAUAACCUGAAUCUUGUUUUGUAUGUUUCCUUUAGAUGAAAUUUACAAAGAACAUCUUGACGACAUACGCCAAGGUGCUGAUAAAAUCUACAAUGAUUUCAACAAUCAACUUCCUGGGGCUCUGAAAAAUUAAAAUUUGAUAAGCAACUCGUGAUGGAGAACGUAUGAAAGAUAAUUACUGAAGCAGAUGGUUAUCAAUCACAUCUUAUCGCCCCUGAACAAGGAUAUAGCGGUCUCAUUGAAUCUUCGUUAAUUACUAUUAGAGCUCGUGCAGAGGUAGCAAUUGAUGCUGUAGGCAUUACUUUAACUCACUGCCUAUAUUUCCUGUCAAACAUAGUUGUACACACUAGUGUAAAUAAACAUUUUUAAAAAUUGAAAAUUAUAUAGUCAUAUGGGUACUCUUUUUGUUGAUCUCGGAAAGAGCUUUACGAAUAUAUAAACCUUGUGAAUUUUGGA